rnacentral:rRNA from 1 species
UUUAGCCUACGGGGGGCAGCAGUGGGGAAUAUUGCACAAUGGGGGAAACCCUGAUGCAGCAACGCCGCGUGAAGGAAGAAGGCUUUCGGGUUGUAAACUUCUUUUCUCAGGGACGAAGCAAGUGACGGUACCUGAGUAAGAAGCACCGGCUAAAUACGUGCCAGCAGCCGCGGUAAUACGUAUGGUGCAAGCGUUAUCCGGAUUUACUGGGUGUAAAGGGAGCGCAGGCGGCACGGCAAGCCUGAUGUGAAAGCCCGCGGCCCAACCGCGGGACUGCAUUGGGAACUACCGGGCUGGAGUGCCGG